UUUUUUUUUUUAAGAGCUGCAACAGAUUGAAUCUGGUGAAGUUUUCCAUUUUUAUGAGGACAAAAUGCUAUUAAGACCUAUAAACAAAUGUAUUUUUAUUAAAAAUGACUAAUGCUUAGUGAAAAGUUCAAAGGCUGGAAAAGAAGCACUAAAAAACGUUUUUAAAAGCAACAAUUCAGCUCACUCAGUUACUGGAAAAGUCAUUUUCAUACUUAAGCUUCAGGGCUAUGCAGCAGCUGGAAAAGCAGCUUAUUUUAUUAUAUAGUUAAUAAACGUCAUGCACUUUUCUUGAAAGAGUCAAAAUAUUACCUUUAAAUAAUGCAAACAACUCUAUAAGAGCAAACAAGGUAUACAACAGAUUCAAGACACAAUGCAUACCAUAAUAAAAGAUACCUCUCAAUUAGAUGCAGUGUAUUCUCACUCAUUGGCUCCUGUAUCCAAAAAUAUGAAUCAAAGGAUAUUUUAAAAAGUUGUUAAAAUUGAAUAAAUUUAAACAAAAAUCUAUAUUAAAUUAAUAUUACUGAGUUUAAGCUAAAUUUUUCAGUUUAACAAUGUUUUAAACUUAGGUAGGAGAAUGUCCUUGUUCCUUAAAGAUUCAUGCCAAAGUAUCUGGGGGUAAAAUAUCUGCAACUUACUUUCACAUGUAUUUAUUAAGUGUGUGCGUAUGUAUAAAGAGAUAAAGCACAUGUUCCAAAAAAUUAAAAAUCGGUAACUCUAAAUGUGGUGCUAUGGGCAUUCACCGCACUAUUAUGCCAAAUUUUCUGUAGGUUUUUAAUUUUUAUAAAUAAAAAGCUAAGGUGGAGGACAAGCUAUCUUGAUCCAACAUUAUUAGAAAAUAGCAUCUCUUCAGAGAGACAAAGCAGAACUAAGCAGGUAAACAUCACUACAAAAGCAAAUUUAUUUAGCAUCUAAAUACAGUACACUGUAUAGGUAGUCUAACAAAAAACUAACGUCGUGUCUGGCUUUUAAGAACACAUAAUCAAAAAAAAACAUAAUCUAAGGCAAAUACUAUUGAUAAACAUAAAAAAACAUUUAAAUAGAAAUAACACCUAAAUUUUUUUUAAGAUUUUAUUUAUUUAUUCAUGAGAGACACAGAGAGAGAGAGGCAGAGACAUAGGCAGAGGGAGAAGCAGGCUCCACAUAGGGAGCCCGAUGCAGGACUCGAUCCCGGGUCUCCAAGACCAGACCCCAGGCCAAAGGCAGUGCCAAACCACUGAGCCACCCAGGCUGUCCUAUAAAUUUAAACGAUAAAUUAAGCUUUUGUUCUAACCAUCACUUUUUUAAUCACACAAACCUUAAAACUCUGUACAUUGUACCAUCUCAUUUGACCUCAUAGGAUACAAAACUCUGACUAGUGUCAUGCUUUCUUUCAAGACAGCAUGUCUUCAAUGACCAUGAAGGAGGGAUUUGAUUUUAUAAGACAAAGUAGUUCAUUUCCAUUUAGACACUAUAACAGAAUAUUUUGCAUUUAAUCACAAAUUUGCCCUCUUCCUAACCCCUGCCUUCCUUCAUAAGUCAGCUCUAAUGCUCUUUCUUAGAAGCAUUUUCUGGGGGUGCCUGGGUGGCUCAGUCAGUUAAGCUGCCAACUCUUGUCAGGUCAUGAUCUCGGUCCUGGGGAUCAAGCUUGUGUGUCAGGGUCCAUGGUCAGUGUGGAAUCUUCUUGAAGAUUCCCUCUCUCUCUCUCUGCCCUUUCCCCCUGCACUUGCUCGCUCACAUGUGCAUAUUCUCUCUCUAAAAUAAAUAAAUCUUUUAAAAAAAAAAAAAAAAAAGCAUUUUCAGAUUGCCCAAGGUGAGUUGGAUGUCCUUCCAUGUUCUCUUAUUUAUCGCAUAGUAUUAUCAUUGAUUUUUCUUGUCCACACUAAUCCAGUAUUUACUAGGUACUUGAAAUACAUGAAUGAGUAAGAUGCUUUUAAUGCCAUCAGCAAGCUCUUAGCCUGGUAGUGGAGACACCAACCAUGCAAAGAAAUAAUUAUCAUGAAUUAUCAUGCCAUCUACCAAGCUGUCAAAAACCUCAGAUUCAUCUCUUAAUUCCUCUCUUUUCCCAACUCACAUACAGCCCACUGGCAGAAUGACUCUAUCACCCGACACAACAUAAAUGCAUCCACUUCUAUUUACAUCAUAACCCUGGUCCAGACACUACCUUCUCUCACCCAGAUUGCUACUAUGAGACACACCUUCCCCUCAUGACUUCGUACAAUCUGUUUUUCACACAAGAUCCAAAGUAAUCUUUUAAAACAUAAAACAUAUCACGUCAGUCCCCUGCUUAAAUCCUUCUGAUUGUUUCCAUUUGGAAUAAAAUCCAAAUUUCUUACCAUGGAUGCCUAACAGGUUCUAUAUAACCUGUACCUGUCUGUGUGUCUGUCCUGAUCUCCAUCUAGUCUCCCUUUCACACAGAACACUUCAGUUCUGAUCCUUCUGAUCCUCAAAUAUACCAAAUUGUUCCCUCUUACACAUUUGCACUCCUGAUUUCCCCUACAUAAAAUGCUAUAGAUUUGUGUGGCUGGCUCAUUACUGCCAUGCAGGUCUCAUUUAAAAUGUUAUAACAAGCAAAGCCUAAAGCAAGCAGAAAGAAGGAAAUAAUAAAAAUCAGAGUAGAAAUGCACAAUACAGAAACUAAAAAUACAAUAGAUCAAAAGAACCAGAAGAUGGUUCUUUGAAAAAAUUAAUAAAGUUGAUAAAUCUCUAGCCAGUCUUAUCAAAAAGACAAAGGACUCAAACAAAUAAAACCACAAAUGAGAGAGGGAAAAAAAAAAUGAGAGAGGGGAAAUAAUAACACCAUAGAAAUUCAAACACUUACUUGAAAAGAAAGAAUAAAAAGAGCAUUAUGAAAAUAUGCCAACAAAUUGAACAACCUAGAAAAAAUAGAUAAAUUCCUAUAAACAUAAAUGACCAAAACUGAAACAGGAAGAAAUAGAAAACUUGAAGAGACCAAUAAUCAGCAAAGAAAUUAAAUCAGUAAUCAAAAAACUCCCAACAAACAAAAGUUCUACCAAAUUUUUUUUUUUUUUUAGAUUUUGUUAAGUAAUCUCUACACUCAACAUGAAGCUCAAACUCACAACCCUGAGAUCAAGAACUGCAUGCUCUACUGACUCAGCUAGCUAGGCGCCCCACAUCCCACAAAUAUUUAAAGAAAAAUUAAUACCUAUUCUCCUGAAACUAUUCCAAAAAAUAAAAAGAAGGAAAACUCCCAAAGUCAUUCUAGAAGGCCAGCAUUACCCUGAUACCAAAACCAGAUAAAGAUUCCACAUACAUACAUACAUAUAUAAAUAAACAAAUAAAAAGAUUCCACUAAAAUAGAGAACUAUAGGCCCAUAUCUCUGGUGAACAUAGAUGCAAAAAUUAUUCAUUAAAUACUAGCACACUGUAUUUAAUAAUACAUUUUAAAAAUCAUUCACCAUGAUAAGUGGGAUUUAUUCCUGGGUUGCAAGUAUGGUUCAAUAUUCAAAAAUCAAUGUGAUACAUCACAUUAAUAAAACAAAGGGUAAGAACCAUAUGAUCUCUUCAAUAGAUGCAGAGAGCAUCUGACACAGUACAAAAUCCAUUCAAGGGAAAACUCUCAAAAAGUGGGUUUAGAGGAAACACACCUCAACAUAAUACAAAUAUAUGAAAAACCCACAACUAAUAUCACCCUUAAUGGGAAAGAACUGAGAGCUUUCCCUUCAUCAUAAGGAACAAGACAGGAAUAUCCACUCUUGACACUAACACAGUACCGGAAGUCAUAGCCUCAGCAAUCACACAACAAAAAGAAAUAAAAGGCAUCCAAAUUGACAAAGAAGAAGUCAAACUUUCACUAUUUGCAGAUGACAUGAUACCCUGUAUAGAAAACCGAGAGACUCCACCAAAAAACUGCCAGAAAUGACAAAUUCAGUAAAAAUACAGGAUACAAAAUCAGUAUGUAAAAAUCUGUUGCAUUUCUCUACAUCAAUAAUGAAGCACCAGGGAGCACCUGAGUGGCUCCCCAUGACUGAGCAUCUGCCUUUGGCUCAGGUCAUGAUCCCAGGGUCCUAGGAUCGAGUCCCACAUCAGGCUCUGCUUCUUCCUCUGCCUGUGUGUGUCUCUGCCUCUCUCUGUGUGUCUCAUGAAUAAAUCAACAAUCUUAAAAAAAUAAUGAAGCAGAGAAAAGAGAAAUCAAGGAAUUAAUCCAUUUACAAUUACACAAAAACAAUAAGAUACCUAGGAAAAAAUCUAACCAAAGACAUGAAAGAUCUGUACUCUGCAAACUACAAAACACUGAUUAAAGAAAUAGAAGAGAACACAAAUACAUUCCAUGCUCAUAGACAGGAAGAACAAAUAUUGUUAAAAUGUCUAUACUACCCCAUGCAAUCUAAACACUUAAUACAAUCCCUAUCAAAAUACCAACAGCAUUUUUCACAGAGCAAGAACAAACAAUCCUAAUUUUUUUUUAAUUUUUAUUUAUUUAUGAUAGUCACACACAGAGAGAGAGAGAGGCAGAAACACAGGCAGAGGGAGAAGCAGGCUCCAUGCACCGGGAGCCCGACGUGGUAUUUGAUCCCGGGUCUCCAGGAUCACGCCCUGGGCCAAAGGCAGGCACUAAACCGCUGCGCCACCCAGGGAUCCCACAAUCUUAAAAUUUAUAUGGAACCACAAAAGACUCAGAAUAGCCAAAGCAACCUUGAAAAAGAAAGGUAUUUAAAAUAAAAAAUAAGGAAAGCAAACCUGGGGCAGCCCAGGUGGCUCAUGAUAUGAAAUACUGGUCCAGAAAUGAUAUGAAAUACUGGUCCAGAAAAAAAUCAAACUGCAAGAUACUACUCAAAAAUCAGGAUUUCCAUUUUACUUAAAUAAUCAAAGAAAUGUUUACCAAGAGGCUUCUUGGUGUCUUCGUGAAUAAAGUUCUGUCAAUCCUUUUGAAUCAGCUCAAAAGACAUGGCUAAAGCCCAGUUAGACUUGGGUUGGUACCCAUGCUACCCUAGCUUCCAUAUGUUACAUACUCAGGCAUGAUAGAUGAUAGGUAGAUAGAUAAGAGUCCCAUUUACUCCUUACAACAACCCCCUAUUCAGAAGGCAUUAUCCUAUUUCACAGAUGAGGAAGCUAUUUCAGAGAAGAAGCAAAAUCUUAUCAGACAUCUAAAUUUGAAAAUAUUCAAUGGGCAUGUUCUGUCUGGCUUUAAAUCACAUACUCUUUGUAUUUGAGAUGCUCUGAAGUUUUUUGGUCAUGACUUUAACCCCACUGCCACUCUAGCAUGUCCAGCACACAAUUCCAAAAUUUACGCACCAACAAGGACUGUCACUUUGAAUCAUUUCUAAGACUUUUCAGUAUACUAAAAAUAUAGAAUUUAUGGUUCCAUUAUACUAAGACUAUAAAUUCCCAACACCAGGGAUGCCUGGGUGGCUCAGCGAUUGACAGUCUGCCUUCAGCUCAGGGCAUGAUCCUGGGAUCCAGGGAUUGAGUCUCACACAUCAGGCUCCCUGGAGAGAGCCUGCUUCCACCUCUGCCUAUGUUUCUUGUUUCUGCCCCUCUCUCUCUGUGUCUCUCUCAUGAAUAAAUAAAUAAAAUCAUGAAUGAAUGAAUGAAUGAAUAAAUAAAUAUUUCCAAACCAAACUGAUGUAGGCAUGAGUCAGGGGUAGGCAGGAAAAGAUAAGAGAGAGGCCCAGAGUCAGACUCCUACCCAACCCAAGAAAGCAGAGAUAAGACCAUAAUAAUAGAAAAAAAUAAACCUGGCUCCCUAGCUCCAAAAUGUUAGGGAGUAUUCCAUUUUAAUGGCAACUAAGUAAUCACAGAAAUCCCAGAUAUAGAGAAAUGUUAUGGAGGAGAUAUUAACCUGAAAGAAGGGAACACCUUGUUUGGGCACAUGGUAUUUGCAAAAAACAUCUAGCUUGUUAUUUUAAGUCCAGCAUGUUUGUUCUAAAUAUCCACCCUGAUUGAUAAGAAAUUUCAUUGGUGUUGAAACUGAUAUUUCAGUAUCAUUGAAAUUGAUACUCAAUUUCUUAUUCAUAAGAAAUUUACCAAGUUCCCUGGUCAGUUUCCUAUAAAGGACAGACCAUAAAAGACCUCAGUGGCUAACCUGUGGGGACCCCUCUCAGUUUUGAGAGCUUUCUCUGUAUCUCUGCUUAAUAAACUUCUAUUGCUUUGCUCACUCUCUGUUGUCCGCGAGAUUCAUUCUUCGACUCCGGGAGACAAGAACCAAGCUCUCCUGUAUCGAAACCACCAACACAAAUUCAGAAAGUCAAAUUCUGAACCAUCAAGUAAACCCUUUCAAAAAGGACCUUAUUUCCUUUGUAUGUUGUUUCCCUGGAAAAUCUCAACAUCUCAUCCAACAAGACAACUAAUCUGUGAAAGAUUUGAUAUUUAGCUCUUUUAAUAGUGUUCUGGUUCUUGAAGAAGAGUAAAUACCCUUAUUACUGUUCAAACUUUCAGAGUCCUCACAUAACCACAUUACCUUUGUAGAAAGUUAGUGAAGACUUUCAGUGCUACAACAACACUAGAUUUCUACACAAUGAUCACCCCAUACUACCAUUAAUCUGAAGGCCAUAUCCUGUAGCAGUAGGUGGGUAGAUUAAGUAUUUAGUUUUUAUCUAAUAAAGAAGCAGAUUAAUUGUGGAUUAUGCUUAAAAUCUUUAAAAUUAAUGUUAUACCAGCAAACUAGGAUAUCUACUUUCUUAGUAGAAGUGGAAUACCCUUGAGAAACAACUAGCAGGUGAAAUUUACAGACUAAAGUAACAGCUCUGAACCCUACCACCCAACAAUUGGAUUACUAGAGAUUUACCCCAAAGAUACAGAUGCAGUGAAAAACCGAGACACCUGCACCCCAAUGUUUAUAGCAGCAAUGUCCACAAUAGCCAAACUGUGGAAGGAGCCUUCGUGUCCAUCGAAAGAUGAAUGGAUAAAGAAGAUGUGGUCUAUGUAUACAAUGGAAUAUUACUCCAGCCAUCGGUAACGACAAAUACCCACCAUUUGCUUCCAUGUGGGUGGAACUGGAGGGUAUUAUGCUGAGUGAGGUAAGUCAAUCAGAGAAGGACAAACAUUACAUGGUUUCAUUCAUUUGGAAGGAGAGAAAGUGAGUGGGAAGUAUCAGAGAGGGUGACAGAACAUGAAAGACUCCUAACUUUGGGAAACAAGGAGAAGUGGAAGGGGAGGUGGGCGGGGGGAUGGGGUGCCUGGGUGACGGGCACUGAGGGUGGCACUUGACAGGAUGAGCACUGGGUGUUAUGCUAUAUGUUGGCAAAUCGAACUCCAAUAAAAAAAUACAAAUAAAUAAAUAAAUAAAGUAACAGCUCUGAGAAUCUAAUCUGAAAAGGCUACAUAUUAUAUGAUUACAACUAUGGGAUACUCUGAAAAAGGCAAAACUAUGGAAACUAAAAAGAUCAGUGGGAGCCAAGGGUUCUGGAGAAGAGAGAAAAGGAUAAACAGAGCAGGGAAUUUUUAGGGCAGUGAAACUACUCUGUUCUGUAUCAUGAUAGUGGAUCCACGUCAUUAACAUUUGUUAAAACCUAUACAACUUACUACACAAAGAAUGAACCCUAAUAUAAACUUAAGCUAAAAAUAAUGUAUCAAUAUUGGUACAUCAAUUGUUACAAAUAUACCACACUAAUGCAAGCUGCUAAUAAUACAGGAAAUUGGUCUGGGAUGGGGAUGGUGAGGUUGUACACAGGAACUCUCUGUACUUUCUUGCUCACCUAAUACUGUUCUAAAUAAAUAAAGUGUAGAAUUAAAAAAAAUAAAAAUAAGUAACAGUUGGAUAAGCUUUGCCACAUGGAUUCUCACAGGAGCCCAUGGUACCUUGUCCAUAGUGUAUUCAUCAUGCCAGUACUAUAUGGAUGAUAUACUUCAGUCAAAGAGGCCACAGACCAAUGGUGGAGACUCAGAGAACUGGGUCUUGCAGCAUGAUCUUGAACUACACAGGUAUAGAUUAUGUUAAAAUUAGACAAAAAAACUUCUUAGAAAUUUCCAUAUCCCCUUUGGGUGAGUAUUUACUGCUUUUACCUGAAGAGUUCCAAUUCAAAACACUACUGACUUCUAGCCUUAUACUGUAAGAAAACUGUUAUAAAAGCAAGUGGCUUUUAUAGUUAGUUAAGCAUCUACCUUCAACACAGGUCAUGAUCUUGGAGUCCUAGGAUCAGUCUGGCUCCCGGCUCAGCAACUAGUCUGUUUUCCCUCUCCCUUCUCCCUCUGCCCCUCCCCCCCGCAUGUGCUCACAGGCUCACUCUCAAAUAAAUAAAUAAAUACAUACAUACAUACAUACAUACAUAAAUCUUUUUAAAAAAUAAAAAUAAAAGCAAGUAUCUGGACCAGAUAUCCAACCAACACCAACAUGGGCCUGACUAGUAGACCCUCCCUUAAAGACACAGCUCACAGCCUUAAACAAUUCCACAGAACACAACUGUGGCUUAAGACUGAAUGAAAAUACUGGAGCACCUGGGUGGCUCAGUGAUUGAGUAUCUGCUCUUGGCUCAGGCUGUGAUCCCAGAGUCCUGGAAUCAAGUCUCGUGUCUGGCUCCCUGCUGCCUAUUUCUCUGCCUCUCUUUGUGUCUCCCAUGAAUAAAUAAAUAAAGUCUUAAAAAAAAAAAAAAAGACUGAAAAUACCCUCUUUCAGGUAUCUUAGAAGCUCUGUCACUAGACAGAGACUACACAAGAUUCACCACAGGAUACCAGGAACAUGGGUUUAAAGGGGGAUAUGGAAAUAAAAAGGGUUUGAUAGUACAUUAACAGGUUUUCACUGAGGUGGGGGAAAAAAAAAUACCUCAGGUGAGACUUGGUUAUUAUAAUUAGGUCUGCCAACACUGCAAUUUUUAAACUUAGCAAAAAAACAAAAGAAGUCUCUACAGCCGCAUUCUGAGAGGGAGAAAUUAUGCAUAGAUAUUUCCUUCCUCCAGACAUAGUUAAUCCACAUUGCCAAAAUUAAGCUCUUGGUAAGGGGUUUCUUUCAAUCAAGUUUAACUCAUUGGUCAUAGACAAUGGAAGUCUGGCUCCACUGGCACCCAGAUCAAAGUGAAACAAGACUUUCUUCUUUUCACUUUCAUUUUUCAGUUACUAUGCCUGCUAUCUUCACUUUGCACCCCCAUUAAUGGGCUCCUGUGGCCUCUGGAUUCUGGCUACUUCAGUCAUUUAGAAGUAACAGCAUGAGACUGGAGGAAGGAACGAGGGUGACACUGGACUAUAUACUCCCCAGUUUCUCUCCCUCUCCCACAGCUCUCUUCUCUUCAGGAUUCCAAUAAUCUCUCAUUUCCCCCUUCAGCUCUAGGGGUGGUAACAGCUUCCUGAUUACCAGCCUCAGGGGCAUAUACUAUUUCCUGUGUCUUCUCACUGCCCACAAUCUUAUUAAAUUCCCCUCAAAUCAUCCGAAGUAGAAGUGUGCCACCUAUUUCCUACAGGGCCUCUGGCUAAUAAACAUACCACUGAGUUUCUGGCAUAGACCUUCAGGAAACACUAAGUACAAAGUUUUAGGGAAAAUAACUUGGCCUAGGUGAUAGUUUUCAGGACUUAAGAUCCACUUGAGAGAGGAAUCAGUGGUGUGAUAAUGUUAGAUGUUCUGUUGGCCCUUUAGAAUCUUUUUUAAAAAUCAGGUCUCUCAGAGAUUUGAUUCAGAAUCAAUAAAACCUUUGAGACCUUGAAGAAAUUUCAUUGAAAAAUAGUAUAGGCUAUGACUAUGGAAAGAAAAACAACUCUACUCAAGACAUCAAGAACCUUCUAGCUGAGACUGAGCAUAAGAAUUUGAGGUCAAUACAAAACUUCAAUUUCUUUGAAUUUUAAUUCAAAGCUCCAAAAGAACUUGAUAUUUAACCUUAAUUCCCCUGGACUCUUAACUUAAAAAAAGCUGAAUCUUUGAAUAUCUGGUUUUUUUCCCCAAGAAAUUUAUAAUGGGAAAAUGUUUAUCUUCAAAUUUAGGGCAUUCCUUUUAUAUUUUGUUUCAGGUACAAUCUAAUGUAGUUUCAUUUUAUUUCAUAAUUUGAUUUCAUUUUAUAAUUUCUAAGCUACAUUGGACAAUAUGGGCAUCAUAGUUUUUACUGGAACUAGAUUAGGAUGUCAAGUUUCUGUCUUGUGUACAAAGGAGUUUUGGAGUCCACUUAAAUAAUGUGCAGUUUUGACCC
rnacentral:lncRNA from 1 species